UGCCUGUCCCAUCAGCUGCUCCCCUCAGGUGCUUGGCUCCUGUCUGGCCUGCACACACUGGUGUCCCUCUGCCAGGACCCCUGGGACAAGGCAAAGGAACAGACCCAGGUCUCAUCCUGAGCUGGGAUCAGAGGGCAGCUGGGCUGUGUGGGCCUGGGGGCUAAAAUGUCCUCACAGGUGGCAGAGUUUAAAUGUAGCCACAGGGCACAUAGGGAAGAGUCUAGAAAGUUGCAGAGCCAAACUGGUUCAGUACAGGACCUUCUGGGUUUUAGGAAGUGUUAAUAAUGGUCUCUCAGUUCCCAAGGUAAUCUGUUGGAGCACUGGGAGUGUUCAAGCUUUGGCAAUAAUGUUUGAAUUAACAAAUUGUUUUCAAGACCACAGGCAUUACUCAUACAGGCUUUUCUGUAACUUACGGUUUUGUUUGUGUAAAAGCUUGUAGGAGAGUGAAGGCUUACUAAAUUAGCAGAUCUGUUUGAAAAAGGCAUGUGUUAAGGCACGGAAAUCCUUUUCCAGGUCCACGGAAUGGCCGCAAUAAUGCUAUUAUCUUGGCAUAUUGCUGUUUCUUUUGUGAACCAGAAGAUGUAACAGUACCCUUUUGUGUCAGGCCUGGAUGCCUGUGCCUCCCUCUACGUAUGUAGCAAUCCAGGUAGAAAGAUGGUAAAUGAGUAAGGGUGUGAGUACGCUGUUGGUGUGACACAGAUGUGGGAGACGGUUCAGGUACCGGUGGCAGCCCAUCUGAAGGAACAGAGAGUUCAAUGGUUGAACACCCCCCUCCAGAAACCAGGCUGCUUCCUGAGUCUUCUCUGGUUUGGUGCCGCAGGGAGCGUACUUGGGAAUGGACCUGCUCUGGCUGCAAGGUCUGACUGACUGACCUGGCUCCAGGGGCAGGAGCACCUUCCUACCAUGCUAUUUUUUUUCUCCUAGGAUUGCACGCUUCUUGGGACAUGGAAUAAAGACGACUUCUGUUGUUUCACAGGUCAAUGUGAUGAAACGCAAUGGGCUGGCUUAACAGAUUGCUACGGACUGAGCCAGCAGCUGCAGUGGUUGUCUUCUGUCCAAAGUCCUUCAGUCUCAUCAUGCAGAAGGGUACUCUUUUUCACCCAGAUUAAGGGAACUUUGCAGUGCCAUGGCUUUGGGGGUGAGCACUGCUGUCAACAGUCCGGUUGUUUGCCUUGUUCCAGCCUGCAAGAUGACCGAGGGCCACAGUAUCAGAACUGAGGAGCAGGUUGCAGUCGUGACUUUGAUACUGCAGUCCCCUGAACCCCGGAGGGUUUUGCCGGUGCGGUGCCCUGGGACAGCCCCGGGGGCAGCCGGCGGUGUCACCUUGGACAGCACCGGGAGAGCGCGGAUUGAUGGCGGUCCCGGUCCCCUCGCCCACAGCCGGCGUCAAAGCAACACGGAGACCCAAGAGAAGGUCUCUUGGAAGAGGAGCAGAGCCGGCUGAUGAUACUUUUUCAGCAGUAGAAGCAGCAGCUUUUCUGGGCUUGAUCCCCACAAUGCUGACUGCCCCUGGCUUCUCCUGCUGUCACUUGGAAUGGGGUGAGCUGCACCUUGUGGGGCCAGGACCUCUUGAGGGGGUGGUAAGGGAGCUGCUGGGUGCUCCUGCUCUCACCUAUGGUGCAAUGGUGGCAACGCUAGGACCCCUGGUAACUGGACGUGGAGGCAGCCAGCUGGGCCUUGCAAGGGAACUGGCUCCUUUUUACUGGAGAAUGACUGCACAGCAGUAAUUAUAGAUUCAAUAAUUCCUCCACUAUCUUCAGCUUCAUUUAAUUCCCCCCUUAACAGAUGUCUGCUACGGAGGAGAAGAAAAGAGAAGAGCUUUUCUGUUACAGGGAUUUUUUGGGCACCUUAAGCAAUGGCUAUAAAGUAGAGGAGGUGGAUUGCAACCCAACACGAUCACAUCUCUCUCCAGAGUCCUUCUCUUUGUUCUUAAUCUCAUUUGACUGGUAACUGCUCAACAGCAAUCAGAAAAGCAUUUGAAACAUCCUAUCGAUCCAGCACAGAUUUUUAACACAGGCCAGUCCAAUUAGACUGUUAUGGGUGGCCAAAAUAAGAUCCCCAUGCUCUUGAUAAGUCACAUGAAUAAAGUACUGGAUGGUCAUGUUGCAGUGAGCAAUUUGAAACUGAGAGCAGGAAAGUUUCUAGCCUCAGUUUCUGUCUAGAAAAGCAGACAGCAGGGAAAGGAUCUGCUGCUCUUGAUUAAAAAAAAAAUAGAGCUGGAAAUGAAACAGAUUAAACCAUUAGUUUAUUUCACUUCUGCUUUGAGGAGAGCUAUGCCAUACUGCUCUGCACAAGGACACCAGAUUAAUCACCUUUUCUCUCCUUCACCUUUUAUAGUGAUGCUGCACAAAUGGUAUCAAGCUGACGGAGAAAAUUAUAAAUACACUGUGUCUGCAAUUUAGCAGCAUUAAUCACACAAAUUUAGUAGUUUUAGAUCGUAGUAGGUCAUCCAUUAGCUGAAAAGUUGACAGUUGUAGCAUAGAAGCCCAAGUUCAGGCCUCAUCUUCCCCUUUCAGGUCAUCUAUUUCUUCUCGGUAAAAACAUCUGGUCAUUUCAAAACUGUAAUUUUCAUACAUUUCAGCUAACAGUGGAAUGUUGAAAAGCUGUUCUGAAAAACAUAGUUCUUUCCUGUGCCAAACCAGUUGGCCUAGAGUUAGUAAAUGUUGUUAUAAAUCUUUCCUUUGCUUUUUCAACAGCUUUAAAACUACAGAAUUAAAUGCUUCAUAAAGACUAGCCAGUGGACACAGGUUAGUAUGCUGAAGAAGUUGAGCACGCAAGACCGCUCGAAUGCUGCUCCAGUCACCCCACAGAGCUCUAGUCUGCAGAACUCCCAAGCUGCCUCCCAACCCCAAACCUUAGAUGGAGGAUCCUUUUGCUUUCUUUCCCUCCUCCCAAGCACAGCUUAAUAUAAGGCACUGAGUAGGGUCAGAAAGAAGAUAAAAACCCCAGAAAGCCUGCCUUCAGUCACAUAUACGCACAUUCUCCAUUAAUGUGUGUCUGUGGAGAUGGUCUUUCUCACUGCUUGUCCUCCAAGUCUAUCUUACCCCAGCCUUGUGUGUAGUCAUAAAUAGUAGGCUGAUGGAUUCCCCCUACAGUACAGCCCCCAUUUAUUUGCUAAAAAGAAGGGGGGGGGAAAAAAAAAAAAGAGAGAGAGAAACAGCAACACAGCAGUUUGCCAGUCCCAAAGAAUUAGCAAUAUGAAGUGAAAAUUUUGGAAGUGAUGAGAUCAUUUUUCUACUUUUCCAAGGUAAAUUUCAUCCAGAGGGAACUGAGGACAUUAAA